UACGUAGGGUGCGAGCGUUGUCCGGAAUUAUUGGGCGUAAAGGGCUCGUAGGCGGUUUGUCGCGUCGGGAGUGAAAACACCGGGCUUAACUCGGUGCUGGCUUUCGAUACGGGCAGACUAGAGGUAUUCAGGGGAGAACGGAAUUCCUGGCGUAGCGGUGAAAUGCGCAGAUAUCAGGAGGAACACCGGUGGCGGAGGCGGCGUCCUGGACCGCGCCUGACACUGAGGAACGAAAGCCAGGGGAGCAAACGGG
rnacentral:rRNA from 1 species